AUAAUGAUACUUCCGUCCAGCCACAGCUCUGCUUUUAGGCAGAUCACGCAAUGGGGGCGGCUUGCAGCGAUCCUGGGAGAGGUAUUCGGACUAUACCUAUGA
rnacentral:ncRNA from 1 species